AGUGAACGCUGGCGGUAGGCCUAACACAUGCAAGUCGAACGGCAGCACAGAGGAGCUUGCUCCUUGGGUGGCGAGUGGCGGACGGGUGAGGAAUACAUCGGAAUCUACUCUGUCGUGGGGGAUAACGUAGGGAAACUUACGCUAAUACCGCAUACGACCUACGGGUGAAAGCAGGGGAUCUUCGGACCUUGCGCGAUUGAAUGAGCCGAUGUCGGAGUAGCUAGUUGGCGGGGUAAAGGCCCACCAGGGCGACGAUCGGUAGCUGGUCUGAGAGGAUGAUCAGCCACACUGGGACUGAGACACGGCCCAGACUCCUACGGGAGGCAGCAGUGGGGAAUAUUGGACAAUGGGCGCAAGCCUGAUCCAGCCAUGCCGCGUGUGUGAAGAAGGCCUUCGGGUUGUAAAGCACUUUUGUCCGGAAAGAAAUCUUCCAACUUAAUACGUUGGGAGGAUGACGGUACCGGAAGAAUAAGCACCGGCUAACUUCGUGCCAGCCGCCGCCGUAA
rnacentral:rRNA from 1 species